rnacentral:rRNA from 1 species
AUUGAACGUUGGCGGCAGGCCUAACACAUGCAAGUCGAGCGGAUGAAGGGAGCUUGCUCCUGGAUUCAGCGGCGGACGGGUGAGUAAUGCCUAGGAAUCUGCCUGGUAGUGGGGGAUAACGUCCGGAAACGGGCGCUAAUACCGCAUACGUCCUGAGGGAGAAAGUGGGGGAUCUUCGGACCUCACGCUAUCAGAUGAGCCUAGGUCGGAUUAGCUAGUUGGUGGGGUAAAGGCCUACCAAGGCGACGAUCCGUAACUGGUCUGAGAGGAUGAUCAGUCACACUGGAACUGAGACACGGUCCAGACUCCUACGGGAGGCAGCAGUGGGGAAUAUUGGACAAAGGGCGAAAGCCUGAUCCAGCCAUGCCGCGUGUGUGAAGAAGGUCUUCGGAUUGUAAAGCACUUUAAGUUGGGAGGAAGGGCAGUAAGUUAAUACCUUGCUGUUUUGACGUUACCAACAGAAUAAGCACCGGCUAACUUCGUG